CCCCCCUCCUAUGAUGAGGUGAUUAGAGAGAAGAGACAGGAACAGGAUCAAGUGUUGCCUCUCUCCUCCUCUUCCUUCUCCUCACCCUUAUGCUCCGUCUCCACGACUACCAUCGCCACGCAGACUGACACCGGACCAAAAUCCUCAGUUCCAACUCGCAGUCACGCCCCAGUCCAGAGAGGCUCAGUGGGUAAGAGAGGGAGAGGUUGACAGCACACAGUCUAUUAAUCAGUUCUUAGAUUUCUGUUUUGGGAUGUGUAGUUCUAGAAUAGUUCAGUGUUGAGAGGCUGUUUUGGGAUGUGUAGUUCUAGAAUAGUUCAGUUGUUGAGCGGCUGUUUUGGGAUGUGUAGUUUUAGAUUAGUUCAGUGUUGAGCGGCUGUUUUGGGAUGU
rnacentral:lncRNA from 1 species